CACCCAGACAGUCGCACUGACUGUCCCCUCUAUUGCCACACGUCUGCCCGUCUGGUCUGUGCACACCCCCGAGCCUGAGCCAGGCUCUGGAACAGGGCGAGGAGGAGAGGACCCUGCACUGCACCUUUGGGGAGCAAAGCACUGCGAGACUGCCAAACACAAAACCACGAAAGGCAAUGCGAUUCCCCAGUGCUCCGGAUGCUCUCCAGAGGGAGGUGGUGACGGCCACGGCGCUGGCAAUGCUCCGGUGGCAUUCAGGCACACCGGGAACACCAGGGCUGCACGGGCUGCCUGUCUGGGGCUCGCUCCCACACCAGGGUACCAGAACUCGAGAGAAGCGAGGAGAAGAGCUCCUACGGAGCAGGUUUUACACCCUGUGGAGGUACCAGACUCCCAGAUGUGCAGUACUACACAGCAGUACUUCACAGCCCACAGCUGAGCUCGGUUCCUCCUCCCUGCCCAAAAGCGGCUGUUCUGUGAGCAGCUGGAUGGGGCACUGGGCACGGUCCUUCCCUGCCGCCUCCCUCUCUGCAAGGUCCUGAUGAGCGUCACACACGGACACUGCUCUGCUGAAAACACGCAGAGAAAGGGACCAUUGAGGGGAGGGAGCGACCCCAGCAUCUGCCCCGGGAGAGAGGGACCUGUGCGGCAGGUCCUGGGUGCCGCGUGUUCCCGGAGCCCUGCGACGAGGCACGGCACGGCACGGCACGGGCACGGCACGGCUCUGGGACAGCUCCUCUCCCCGGGACCGAUGUCGCUCCGCCUGGGGCUCCGGGGCGGAUCUGCCCGGGAUGGCGUGGGAAGCCCCAGGGUCAGGGAUUCCGCUCCGGAAACAGAUUGCCCUCCACCAUGGUACAGACACAGCAGAGAUGGAAACCAGGUAGUCUGGGAUCAAGUGGCUGUUGAAAAGCACCAAAAUAAGCUGCCCUUGUGCUUUUUUCCUUUGUAAAUUGUCAUUCAGACAGAUCCCGGAAAGACACUCAGGACUUCCAUGUCAUCCCAUCCUCAAUUAAUUGUGAUGGGAAUUUAACAUCUUAAUGAAGUGCAACAUGAGUCUCCCACAGCAAUCCCUAUGGGUUAAUGUUCUAUUGCACUGAAACACUGCACAGCAGAGUAUUGCACACCUCACUG